AUGCUUGGCUCUCUGUACCGCUGCAAGUGCCUUGCUUGCUUGGCUUCCUGUUGCCCCACGUGUUGCUCUCCGCCUUCUAGCUUGCAUUGCUUGCUUUGCUGCCUGCUGCCCUGCAUCUUGCUUUCCUCAACAGCUGCUCACAUUGCUAGGUACUCUGUGCGGGUGCUUGUCCCAGGGGAGAUCUUUUUACUCAAUUAA
rnacentral:rRNA from 1 species